rnacentral:rRNA from 1 species
AUGGUGGAGGGGUCGGAGAGUGAUAUUUCAAACCUCAAGUUCCUCCUUCUGUGCUUCCAGCAAAUGUCCGGCCUUAGGAUCAACUUCGACAAGAGUGAGGUGAUGGUCUUGGGCUACACCCAAGACGAGCGCCAGAGCAUAGCGGAUCGGCUUAACUGCCAGCUCGGGUGCUUCCCCACGACAUAUCUGGGGAUACCCAUUAGCGACUCCAGGCUUACGGUGGCCGAGCUGCGCCCCACGGUGGGAAAGCUUCAGCACCGUAUCGAGCCCUGGCAGGGUAGGUGGCUCUCGAAAGCGGCCCGCACGGUGCUCAUUAACUCGUCCCUCUCCAGCCUACUAUUAUUCAUCAUGAGCUUCUACAGCCUUCCCGAGACUCUACACCAUGAGAUUGCCACCAUUCAGGGGCAUUUCUUCUGGGCCGGCGAGGGCGAUAAGUAG